rnacentral:rRNA from 1 species
GACAGAGGGUGCAAGCGUUGUUCGGAAUUACUGGGCGUAAAGCGCGUGUAGGUGGCGAUGUAAGUCGGGUGUGAAAUCCCUCAGCUUAACUGAGGAAGUGCACUCGAUACUGUGUCGCUUGAGUGUUGGAGGGGAUGGCGGAAUUCCCGGUGUAGAGGUGAAAUUCGUAGAUAUCGGGAGGAACACCUGUGGCGAAGGCGGCCAUCUGGACAACUACUGACACUGAGACGCGAAAGCGUGGGUAGCAAACAGG